GAUGAAGAACGUAGUGAAAUGCGAUAAGUAGUGUGAAUUGCAGAAUUCAGUGAAUCAUCGAAUCUUUGAACGCACCUUGCGCUCCUUGGUAUUCCGAGGAGCAUGCCUGUUUGAGUGUCAUGAAAUUCUCAACCUUUCUGGCUUUUGCUAGUCAGGCUUGGAUUAUGGGAGCUGCUGGCUUUUGAAGUCGGCUCUUCUAAAAUGUAUUAGCAAGAUCAUUGCUGCUCAUCAUUGGUAUGAUAAUUAUCUAUAUCAUUGAGAGUCAGUUUCCUUUAUUGGAAGAUUUUGCUCCUAACGGUCUUUAGCAAGACAACAUUUGACGAUUUUGACCUCAAAUCAGGUAGGACUACCCGCUGAACUUAAGCAUAUCAAUAAGCGGAGGA
rnacentral:misc_RNA from 1 species